UCAUUCUAGGUCUCAACCUCUCCCCAUGGCUUUUGCCCGCUUGCUCUGAGACUCGUGAAGCCAAAACAGGCUAGACUUUCCUAUUUUCUGCCCGCCUGUAGCCGUGUUGUAGUCACUCCAUCACCAUGUUCCAGGCGCACCUGGUCCAGGGAUCUGUCCUGAAGAAGGUGUUGGAAGCACUCAAGGACCUCAUCAACGAUGCCUGCUGGGACAUCAGCUCGAGCGGUGUGAACCUGCAGAGCGUGGACUCGUCCCACGUCUCCUUGGUGCAGUUCACCCUGCCGUCUGAGGGCUUUGACACUUACCGCUGCGACUGCAACCUGGCCAUGGGCAUGAACCUCAGUAUUAUAUCCAAAAUACUAAAAUGCGCUGGCAAUGAAGAUAUCAUCACACUAAGGACUGAAGAUAGUGUGGAUACCUUGAUGCUAUUAUUUGAAGCUUCAAAUCAGGAGAAGUUUUCAGGCUAUGAAAUUAAGUUGAUGAAUUUGGAUGUUGAACAACUUGGAAUUGCAGAACAAGAGUACCACUCUGUAGCAAAGAUGCCUUCUGGUGAAUUUGCAUGUAUAUGUAUAUUAUCUCAGUCAUAUUGGAGAUGCUGUUGUAAUUUCCUGUGUAAAAGAUGGAAUCAAAUUUUCUGCAAGUGGAGACCUUGGAAAUGGAAACAAAUUGUCACAGGCAAGUACUGUCGAUAAAGAGGAGGAAGCUGUUACCAUGGAAAUGAAUGAACCAGUUCAGCUAACUUUUGCACUGAGGUGCCUGAACUUCCUUACAAAAGCCACUCCAUUCUCUUCAAUGGUGACACUCAAUAUGUCUGCAGACAUACACCUUGCUGUAGACUAUAAAAUUGCUGAUAUGGGACACUUAAAAGUACUACUUGGCUCCCAAGAUCAAGGAUGAAGAAGGACCUUAG